rnacentral:rRNA from 1 species
UUGACCUCGGAUCAGGUAGGACUACCCGCUGAACUUAAGCAUAUCAAUAAGCGGAGGAAAAGAAACCAACAGGGAUUGCCCCAGUAACGGCGAGUGAAGCGGCAACAGCUCAGAUUUGGAAUCUGGCCCCCAGGGCCCGAGUUGUAAUCUGGAGAGGAUGCUUCUGGCGCGGCGCCUUCCGAGUUCCCUGGAACGGGACGCCGGAGAGGGUGAGAGCCCCGUACGGUUGGACGCCUAGCCUUUGUGAAGCUCCUUCGACGAGUCGAGUAGUUUGGGAAUGCUGCUCAAAAUGGGAGGUAAAUUUCUUCUAAAGCUAAAUACCGGCCAGAGACCGAUAGCGCACAAGUAGAGUGAUCGAAAGAUGAAAAGCACUUUGAAAAGAGGGUCAAACAGUACGUGAAAUUGUUGAAAGGGAAGCGCCCGUGGCCAGACUUGUGCCCCGCGGACCACCCGGCGCCCUCAGCGCCGGUGCACUCCGCGGGGCGCAGGCCAGCAUCGGUUUUCCCAGGGGGAUAAAGGCGGCGGGAACGUGGCUCCCUCGGGAGUGUUAUAGCCCGCCGCGCCAUGCCCUGGGGGGACCGAGGACCGCGCUUCGGCAAGGAUG